rnacentral:misc_RNA from 1 species
GGACUUUCAGUCAUUUUCAACACCCAGACCAUACAACACACCAGCAUACUUCUCAGUAGAGCCGUUAAAGAACGACUCUUUCAGCCUCCGGAAAGUACAGAGAGUGAGCAAGCUAUCGGAGCCAGCCUGGUGGCAGAUUCCGACCCGCUUCACAUCCAAGAGCUCGGCAAGCUCGUUCAGCCCGCCAUGGAAGCUGUUGCAGUAUUUCAUGAGAUGUUUGAUGUCGUAUAGGUUCGGAAAGUACACAUUGAUCAGAGUGAAGAACCCGGCCUGGGUUUCAGGGAGUGACUGGCAGGUGAGUAGCUUCAGGAGAUAGCCGAAAUCAUUCGCACUGUGGAAAGUAACCCAGUGCACGGCAUCAUUGA